GUGCCAGCCGCGCGCGGUAAUACCGGCAGCCCGAGUGAUGGCCGAUCUUAUUGGGCCUAAAGCGUCCGUAGCUGGCCAGACAAGUCCGUUGGGAAAUCCACGCGCCCAACGAGUGGGCGUCCGACGGAAACUGCACAGCUUGGGACCGGAAGGCUCGAAGGGUACGUGCGGGGUAGGAGUGAAAUCCCAUAAUCCCGCACGGACCACCGAUGGCGAAAGCACUUCGAGAAAACGGAUCCGACAGUGAGGGACGAAAGCCAGGGUCUCCAACCGGAUUAGAAACCCCGGUAGUCC
rnacentral:rRNA from 1 species